rnacentral:lncRNA from 1 species
GAGAAAUAGGAAAAUGUCUCUGACUUCAGAACGCCAGCUAGUGAGGAAGAAAGAUAAGUCAAUAACAAGCGCUACAAAAUGCAAUCCUUACUUUCCUGAUGGAGAGGAGGGUGCAACAGGAGAACAAAGAAGAAAACUAUGGUCCAAGAGGAAACAGGGGAGGGCGAAAAACCACAGGAAAGUGGUAUGUGAAGAAUCACUUGGCUGAUACAGAGUUGGGGGUACAGGGACUGGGAACAGCUUAACAAGCAUAUGGCAGGAGAUGUGAGGGAGGAUGUCAAAAGACAAGUCUGGGAAAACAGAAAAGGAAUCAGAAGAUAGGAAGAGGAGGUGGAAUCCGGACUCAGCAACUGAUUGAAUAUGCAGGUAUAAAAUUAUUGGAAUACAGUGGCAUUUCUUGUGAUAACACCCUGACCAUGGAUGUACAAAGGAACUGCUUCUUCCUGCCCUCAAGCUUAAUCAAAGAGGCCUGCAGAAGAUAACCAAGAAAAGAUGGGAGGGUUAUCAUACCUACAGGACUUAGAAGGGGCUAAGGAAAUGCUCGGAGGCCAGGCACAGGAGAGGCACUGUCUGAGCCCAGAGCCCUGCAGGAGGACUUUCUGAGUGGAAGAAGAACAAAACUGCCCUUUCUGGGAGAGGGUCAGCCUGCAGCAGUCUCCACCCCAGAGAAGGUCUACACCAGACUACACAGUGCCAGUCAGGGGAGGCUUCUCCUGUCCUUGCAUCUACUCUGCUGUGUCCCUUUCCUGACAGGUAACUGGGGCCAGGGGUGCAGGACAAGUGAGGAAACGGAACAGAAGCCAACCGCACCCCCUCCUCCUCCCUUCAUUAAAGACCUCUGAAUUGAAGUGGGCCAUUGAUGGAAAAAAAUAGAGGCUUUCAUUCUAAAGUAGUUCAGAGAUUUUGCUAUUCCACCAUGUGAAUGUAAGAAAUACAUUUUAGACAAGUCUUGUGACUGAAAGGGAUGUGGAAGACGUUUUACUAUCAAGUCACUGAAAAAGUUCUGGGAUGGGCCCAAGGUCCAGAGGCAGUAAAAUCUAAAGGUUUCAAAAGAAUAAAAUAAUGGCAGCGCACUCUGAAGUCUGCUCCCUAAGUUUAACUCUAUGGAGAUGUGAGGCCUGCAU